AUGGCACAAGAGAAUGUCUCAUGCUUGUCUGGAGGAUGUUAAGAGGCUGCCAGGCUGCACCGAAGGAUGUAAAAUCACACCAUGUGAGGGAUCCCUAGUGUGCAGGGCAUGCAGCAAGGUUCAAAGGUGCAGGUUUCCCGGGGUAAAGAGGGUAACCACAAAACCUUUUGAGUUGAUUCACACAGAUCUGUCAGGACCCAUGAGGUGUGAGAGUCUGGGUGGGGCCAAGUAUGUGCUAUCGCUGACAGAUGACCACAGCCAGGUUGGCUGGUGUUUCUCUCUCAAAUCACAGGGGGAGGCGGCGCAACUGAUCCAGGAUUGGGUUGCGGAGGUGGAACGAAGGUUUUCCACCAGGGUGCAAGGGUUCAAGAGCGACCGAGGGUCACAGUUUACUGGGUCUGCUCUGGAGGAGUUUUUCAAGGAAAAAGGAAUACGUCACCACGUGACGGGUGCAAAGUCUCCUCAAGGGAGAGGCGUGGCACAGCACAGGAGUGAAACACUGGCUGAAGCUGUCAGAGUUUUGCUGGGUGACUCUGGGCUGCCUCAGAGCUUUUGGAGUGAAGCUUGGAAAGCUGCCAACUUUGUUUUUAACAGGUCCUACAAUCACGAUGUAGGUGACACACCGUAUUUUCUGUUGCACAAGAGGAAGCCACAGGUGCAUUUCUUCCGUUCGUUUGGUUCCAAGGCUUCAGUGCCAAUACCAACAGCGCAACGGAAGAAGGAUGGUCCUAGGUACCAGGACAUGAUCUUCUGUGGGUAUGAUCCUGCAACAAAUGGGUGGAAGUUUGCAUACCCAGAGGGUGAUCAGACCACGCUGCUGGUCAGCAAGCAUGCUGAGUUCUUUGAGCAGGAUGGUUGGUCACAGCCUAGGUAUGGUUCUGAUUUUCUCUCAGACUGCUUGUCCGAUUCUGAGGGGGAGG